rnacentral:rRNA from 1 species
ACGGAAGGCAGCAGUGGGGAAUAUUGCACAAUGGGGGAAACCCUGAUGCAGCGACGCCGCGUGAGUGAAGAAGUAUUUCGGUAUGUAAAGCUCUAUCAGCAGGGAAGAUAAUGACGGUACCUGACUAAGAAGCCCCGGCUAACUACGUGCCAGCAGCCGCGGUAAUACGUAGGGGGCAAGCGUUAUCCGGAUUUACUGGGUGUAAAGGGAGCGUAGGUGGUUUGGCAAGUCAGAAGUGAAAUGCGGGAGCUCAACUCCUGAACUGCUUUUGAAACUGUCAGACUAGAGUACUGGAGAGGCAAGCGGAAUUCCUAGUGUAGCGGUGAAAUGCGUAGAUAUUAGGAGGAACACCAGUGGCGAAGGCGGCUUGCUGGACAGCAACUGACACUAAUGCUCGAAAGCGUGGGGAGCAAACAGGAUUAGAUACCCUGGUA